GACGAACGCUGGCGGCGUGCUUAACACAUGCAAGUCGAACGGAAAGGCCCUGCUUUUGUGGGGUGCUCGAGUGGCGAACGGGUGAGUAACACGUGAGUAACCUGCCCUUGACUUUGGGAUAACUUCAGGAAACUGGGGCUAAUACCGGAUAGGAGCUCCUGCUGCAUGGUGGGGGUUGGAAAGUUUCGGCGGUUGUGGAUGGACUCGCGGCUUAUCAGCUUGUUGGUGGGGUAGUGGCUUACCAAGGCUUUGACGGGUAGCCGGCCUGAGAGGGUGACCGGCCACAUUGGGACUGAGAUACGGACCAGACUCCUACGGGAGGCAGCAGUGGGGAAUAUUGCACAAUGGGCGGAAGCCUGAUGCAGCAACGCCGCGUGCGGGAUGACGGCCUUCGGGUUGUAAACCGCUUUCGCCUGUGACGAAGCGUGAGUGACGGUAAUGGGUAAAGAAGCACCGGCUAACUACGUG
rnacentral:rRNA from 1 species